GAAGGCGGGGAGAGAGAAAGAGGGAGGGAGGGACCGGGAUGUAGGACUCCCGCCCGCGCUGGAGGCUGUGGUGAGGGGGAAUCAAAAACUGUCUACUUGGCCACAAUUAGGGGAAAACUGCUAAGGAAAUAACAACCCUGGGCUUGGAGUCAAUGGACCAGGACCAGAGUUAAAGUCAGUAGCUGUGAUCUUCAAAUAAACAGAGACUGAUAGAGCUGUAGAGCCCAUGAGUUGAAGAUAGGAAGAGCACAAGAAAAAAGGCCAUCCAGGUCUUCAAGUCGUCACUGGAGGGGAACAUCAUAAGACCCUGCUGCAUAAGCUUCAGACUGUGAUGUGAGCCAGAAAUAAACCUUGA